rnacentral:lncRNA from 1 species
AAAGUGCGAACUUUUCGCAAGUUGUUUUAUAAACAUAUGCAUGUUGUUGUUAUUCAGUGACCAAAAAGGGAGUAAGACUCAAAUCAGGAAAUAAAAAAACAAACAAAGAUAGAUAGACAAUACCUUUGACAAAAGAAAAAUACAAACCUUCAAGCAGAACAAAAAAUUCACGGCACAUAUCAGUUGAAGUAGAGAGCAUGACACUCCCAGAAAAGAUUUUUUUCUGCAAAUGCUUGUUUUAUGUCGUUUCAGG